rnacentral:rRNA from 1 species
CCUCGAUGUCGGCUCGUCACAUCCUGGGGCUGGAGAAGGUCCCAAGGGUUGGGCUGUUCGCCCAUUAAAGUGGCACGCGAGCUGGGUUCAGAACGUCGUGAGACAGUUCGGUCCCUAUCUGUUGUGGGCGCAGGAAAUUUGAGGAGAUCUGACACUAGUACGAGAGGACCGUGUUGGACGAACCGCUGGUUCAUCGGUUGUUCCGCCAGGAGCAUAGCCGAGUAGCUAAGUUCGGAAAGGAUAAGUGCUGAAAGCAUCUAAGCACGAAGCCAACUUCAAGAUUAGAUUUCCAUAUUAGGGAGGUUGGAGACUACGACCUUGAUAGGCUGCAGGUGUAAAGUUGGAGACAACAAAGCCGAGCAGUACUAAUAUCCCGAAACUUUUAAGCAA